GAUGAACGCUGGCGGCGUGCCUAAUACAUGCAAGUCGAGCGAAUGAAUUAAGAGCUUGCUCUUAUGAAGUUAGCGGCGGACGGGUGAGUAACACGUGGGUAACCUGCCCAUAAGACUGGGAUAACUCCGGGAAACCGGGGCUAAUACCGGAUAACAUUUUGAACCGCAUGGUUCGAAAUUGAAAGGCGGCUUCGGCUGUCACUUAUGGAUUGACCCGCGUCGCAUUAGCUAGUUGGUGAGGUAACGGCUCACCAAGGCAACGAUGCCUAGCCGACCUGAGAGGGUGAGCGGCCACACUGGGACUGAGACACGGCCCAGACUCCUACGGGAGGCAGCAGUAGGGAAUCUUCCGCAAUGGACGAAAGUCUGACGGAGCAACGCCGCGUGAGUGAUGAAGGCUUUCGGGUCGUAAAACUCUGUUGUUAGGGAAGAACAAGUGCUAGUUGAAUAAGCUGGCACCUUGACGGUACCUAACCAGAAAGCCACGGCUAACUACGUGCCAGCCGCCGCAGUAA
rnacentral:rRNA from 1 species